AAAUGCUUUCAUAUUAAAUUGGACAAGCAGUGAAACCAAAGCCAAUCAGAAGAGGGGUUUGGUGGCUCAGAGGGAGCAUUGUGCCUUCUCUGCAUCUACUGUUCUUAAAUUCCUGAAAGCACUGUGGUGUGAAGGUGCUUUGCCAGAAAAAGCAAAAAAGGAAGCUUUGUCAUCUUUAGAAACCACGGCAUCACGCUCCUGAUCAAGUUACAGCCCAGAAUUUAUUGGUGGAAACAUGUCCACACAUCUGCAAUUCCUAAAAACCAUAAAACCAGUUUGUUUCUGAGGCCUCAUUGUAAUUGCAACUCCCCAGCUUUCCAUCAGGAGAUGCCAAAGUGGCUCCUGGAGGAAGGGAGGAAAGGUGUGAGGGGUGUUAAUCAGAAAUACCCAGGCCCUGUCCUCUCAGAUACUGAGAAAAGGGGGAUGGGACAGCUCUGGUGGCAGCUGGAGAGAAAGCCCCGGUCCUGUCCCCAAAUCACUGUGCAUUGGGGGUACCCAGGGAGCUGUGGAGGUGUUCAGAGGAUGCUGCACGGAGUAUGGAGCUGCUGCAUCCCACAUGUGUGAUCUGAGGUGCUGAUCAGAGUGUUGGAAGCUGAGGAACCUCCAGAUUUUGCUCUGUAUUAAUUAACUGCUAUGUACAUCUUGUGUAAUUAAAAGCAAAAGUAACUCUCUUCCUCCUCAGUGCACAGGCUCCACUCCACUGUUGUAAACACACUUGAGAUUGGAGCCGGGCCUUUUGCUGGCUGAACUUUCUGCUUUUAUUUCAUGUUUAAUGCUGCUUAUAGAUACUACCUGUGCUGUGCAGCAGCCAGGGGGUUUAUAUUAAUUAAAUGUUGCUAUGGAAACAGCACAUCAAGCAGAGGAUGGUGCUUCUAGGGGAGGGAGGGAAGGAGCUGCCUGUAGCAGAAAGGUGCGUGGCUGAUUUGAAGGGAAAAGGAUUUGCAGAAUUGUGUUUUUGUAAAGUUACCAGAGCCUGGGAAAGUCUCCUGUGUUCCUGUGUCCUUUUCCUUCCUAUGGCUGAUAAUUCCUGACUGCAUCAAUCCUCUCCUCUGAGCCCUGUGAGAAACCCCAGUUCUUUAGAAGAUCAAAUAAUCUUGUCUUCCCCUUGAAAUGUUCCCUAAUUCACAGUCCAAACAGCCUAGAAUCAGCUUUCAAGAAGUAAAAACAUGGUAUUACAGUUGAACACAGAGAAGUCAGAAACUGGAGCUCUGUCCCUGGUGAAAAAUGGGAGGCUUGACCCUUUGCAAGGGAGCAUAGUCAGACUAAUCUGUGUAGAUAUUCCUGAUGUCCUGCCUUGGUUAUGCAAAGAGCUGGUUUAAGCCAUUUUGAUAUGUGUUGCUCUUCCUCCUUCUCUGAUUGCAGCAACAGCUAAGACACCUGGCUUUGUCAGCACAGGAAUAAAAGUAAUUGUAAAAAAAAUAAAAAUCUCAUAAACCUAUCAUCCAUUUUUCCAUCCAUCCAUCCAUCCAUCCAUCCAUCCAUCCAUCCAUCCAUCCAUCCAACAACUUUUAUCUCUCCUCCUCGUAUCUGGAUGCAGAUCAGCCGUGCCACCUGCUUAUCAAUUAAGAAAGAACAGAUUCAUGGUCUGAUAAAUUUAGCAAGUACCAUGUAAGCUCUAAUUGGUGGGCAUGAUCCACUCGCCUUGCAUUAAUUCCAAAAGGUUCUGCUGAUCUUAUCACACAUUGUGUGCUCUUUGUGUUUUAAUCAUCCCCACCCCCAUUGCAUUGAAAUUUUUUGCUGUGACAAGCCCAGCUCUGAAGCAAGCACGUCACUGCUUUCAUUGACACUGAAAAAUCCUGUCUUGUUAAUAGUAUAAAUGGACUAGGGGCUUUGCCUUCCAGCUUAAUUCAAGAGUGCUAUCGGCAUGAGUGGGUUAUAAAAGCUCUUUUUCAGGAUAAAAGACAGUUCCUCACCAGAAAAAAAAAAGAGCUCAAACAUCUUUAUGACAUCCCAGUGCAAAAAACAAUUGAAAAGGAUUGUCAUAAAAGCAAGCAUGUCAGUUGUGAACUUUACUGAAUUGAGUCUAAUGCAAAAUUCAUGCCGAGGUGUCACAAGUGAAAGGCAGUUUAUUAAUCCAACUUAUCUGGAGCUGGUAGGCAGCAGUCAUGUGGGUGCUUUGGGGCUAAGUGAAGCAUGAUGUCUUUGCUGUCUGACUGAUCAGGAUGCAACGCCCAGCUAACCGUGUCAUGCUGCUUUAUUCCAGUCAUGCAUUAGAAAGCAUUUUAUUUCUCCAUUACGUUUGAGAAUGGCAAAGUGGCUCAGAGCUGGUGUGAAUGGAAGAAUUGCUCCAGUGAAUGUCUGUCUGCUGGCAAAGCAGAGCACCUAUAGAAAGAACAUAGUGGGCUUGUUCAGCACAACAGCCUUUCAGAGGAAACCUCAAACACCCUAAAGCAGCAGUGGCGUGGGACCAAUGCCUUCCAAAAGGAUGAGGGGAAGGAGGAAUUAAAAUGGUUUCAAUUAAAAAUGGAGCAGGCUUGCAAGCUGUCUCCACUGUCUCCUGGUGCUCUUGGGUAGCACUCAAAGUAGAUAGUGAUGAGAUUGACAGGUCUAGCCAGGAAAAUGGUCCCCCCCAGUGCUGGCAAAUGACAUCAAAACCCUUAGAACAGGGAUGAAACCCACCUCCUUGGAGGUUUAGGCUAACAGCAUGGUCAGGAUUUCCUCAGAACCAUGUGGGAAGUACAAGGGCUCUAAACGUGGCUGGCUAAGGGAUACAAGGCCAAAUUUAGCCUUACCAGAAGCCAGACCAAUGCUUCUUAUUUCUAACUGGGCUGAAGCAGCUGACUAAGGAGCUCAAGUCCCCUCAAGCGAAGGGCCAAAAGUGACAGUAAGAGAGGAGAUGAAGGCUGAGGAGUUGCUGGGAGGUGAAGGAGUUAGAGUGCAUGUUUAUUGGGGAGGUGGGUUACAGCAGGAGAGCCACAGCAGAGAUGUGGUUUACUGAGCUCUUGGGGGCUUGAAAACACUUCUGCAAAGGGAGGAGUACCUCAGCUUAUUGAAACUGAAGUGGGGGAGAGCCUGGAGGAAAGAACAGGCCUCUGGAGCUGAUACCCUGGUAUAAGUGUUGCUGGAAGAUGACCUGCAUCUAUUAAAAAGAUGUUAAAGUUGAUCCCUUUCUGUCAUGUUUAUGGAUGUUACCCAGAGUGGCUUUUAUCAGAUGUGCAUUUGGCUCAGCACUGAAUGAUAAUUGCAGCUAAAUAGUCUAUGAAAAGAGAUCUACAAAUGCUAUAGAGUGUAAGCUGGCCAAAUUCUGUCCCCAUCCAUCCAUGAGGUUUCUCUGAUAUGUGCCAUGGCAGAAUUUGUUUGAGAUGUUAUAGAGGAUAGACAGGAACUCAUUGCAUGAUUAUGACAGUGACCUGCUUUGUGUCAGCUGUUCCAAUGACUCAUUUCAUGAUUUUUGGAAUGUCACUUAACUUUUCUGUGUUGUGAUUUACUCAGCCCUGCUUAUUCGUGUUGGCCUGUCUUACAUGAGGAAAUUGCUCUAAGAAUUCCUUGGGCAC